rnacentral:rRNA from 1 species
GGCCCUAUGGGGCGCAGCAGGCGAGAAAACUUUGCAAUGUGCGAAAGCACGACAAGGUUAAUCCGAGUGGUUUCUGCUAAAGGAACCUUUUGUCGGUCCUAGAAACACCGAUGAAUAAGGGGUGGGCAAGUUCUGGUGUCAGCCGCCGCGGUAAAACCAGCACCUCAAGUGGUCAGGAUGAUUAUUGGGCCUAAAGCAUCCGUAGCCGGCUCUGUAAGUUUUCGGUUAAAUCUGUACGCUCAACGUACAGGCUGCCGGGAAUACUGCAGAGCUAGGGAGUGGGAGAGGUAGACGGUACUCGGUAGGAAGGGGUAAAAUCCUUUGAUCUAUUGAUGACCACCUGUGGCGAAGGCGGUCUACCAGAACACGUCCGACGGUGAGGGAUGAAAGCUGGGGGAGCAAACCGGAUUAGAUACCCGGGUAGUCCCAGCUGUAAACUAUGCAAACUCAGUGAUGCAUUGACUUGUGGUCAAUGCAGUGCUGCAGGGAAGCCGUUAAGUUUGCCGCCUGGGAAGUACGUACGCAAGUAUGAAACUUAAAGGAAUUGGCGGGGGAGCAC